UCAACCUCGUGGACUACGGAGCGGAGGGGGACACUUCGGGCCACUCGGAGGGUGGCACCGAAGUCAGGCGUCCCCAAGGGCUCUGGCGGAUGGCCAAGUUUGUGUUCUUUCCAUCCCACGCCGGAGUAGCGCUCGCUACUUUGGGGAAGCUUCAGACUCCUCAACCCCGGCCACGAGGCCACCCCUGUCUUUAAGACCACAUAAGGAACACCAUGAUCCGUGCAUCUGUGCAGCUUGUUCCAGAGUCCCAGCCCUCACCAGCUGUGAGGUCACAUCUCUUGGAAGGCAGUCAUCUACCUCAACCAACAGCUCCGAGAUGCUGGGCAGCGGGACCAUAUCUGCCAUUUGGAGAGCUGCCGCUGGUGCUCUGGGCUGUCCUGCUCCUUCCGGUAGCCAAAGAGAGGAUGCGAUUUUUAAAAAUUCAUAUAUUCAGGCAUCUGCUGCAGGCGAGGCAAGCGAUGUGAAUAAGUGAAGCAGGCUCCGAGGCCAUGGCAGGCCGGGGAGAGCACAUGCCUCUGCUGGGAACCAGUGUGCCAGAUCUUCUGAUUCUUCACGAGAUGCUGGAAAUAUGGACUUUUAUGGGAAAACUUCCAGUUUUAAGAUGCUGGCAACUCAUUCAAAAAACUUUAAGCACUAGAAGAGACAGCCAUGUUUGGGCUGGGUUGGAUCAACAGGACACCAGCUCGCAAGCUCUGGUUGAUGCUGUAUUGCCCUGCA